rnacentral:rRNA from 1 species
AUAUUUAAGUUGUUGCAGUUAAAAAGCUCGUAGUUGGAUCUUGGGUCGUAAGGGUCGGUCCGCCUACUCGGUGUGCACCUGCCCUUCCGUCCCUUUUGUCGGCGGCGUGCUCCUGGCCUUAAUUGGCUGGGUCGCGGUUCCGGCGCUGUUACUUUGAAAAAAUUAGAGUGCUCAAAGCAAGCUUAUGCUCUGAAUACAUUAGCAUGGAAUAACGUGAUAGGAGUCUGGUCCUAUUGUGUUGGCCUUCGGUACCGGAGUAAUGAUUAAUAGGGACUGUCGGGGGCAUUCGUAUUUCAUUGUCA